GAUGUGGCGUAAUGGUAGUGCGACUGCCUGCGAAGCAGAAGGUUCUGGACUUCUGGGUUCAAUUCCCGGUGGGUCA